rnacentral:rRNA from 1 species
ACAGGAUUAGAUACCCUGGUAGUCCACGCGGUAAACGAUGGAUACUAGGUGUAGGGGGCGUAAAGCCUUCUGUGCCGCAGCUAACGCAAUAAGUAUCCCGCCUGGGGAGUACGGCCGCAAGGUUGAAACUCAAAGGAAUUGACGGGGGCCCGCACAAGCAGCGGAGCAUGUGGUUUAAUUCGAAGCAACGCGAAGAACCUUACCAGGGCUUGACAUCCUCUGAAGUGCGUGGAAACACGUACGCCCUUCGGGGCAGAGAGACAGGUGGUGCAUGGUUGUCGUCAGCUCGUGUCGUGAGAUGUUGGGUUAAGUCCCGCAACGAGCGCAACCCUUAUGGUUAGUUGCCAGCACGAAAGGUGGGAACUCUAAUCAGACUGCCGGGGAUAACUCGGAGGAAGGUGGGGACGACGUCAAAUCAUCAUGCCCCUUAUGUUCUGGGCUACACACGUGCUACAAUGGCCGGUACAAAGGGCUGCGAAGCCGCAAGGUGAAGCGAAUCCCAUAAAGCCGGUCCCAGUUCGGAUCGUGGGCUGCAACCCGCCCACGUGAAGCCGGAGUUGCUAGUAAUCGCGAAUCAGCAUGUCGCGGUGAAUGCGUUCCCGGGCCUUGUACACACCGCCCGUCACACCAUGGGAGUUGGGAGCGCCCGAAGCCGAUGGCCUAACAAGCAAUUGAAGGAGUCGUCGAAGGCGAGAUCAAUGACUGGGGUGAAGUCGUAACAAGGUAACCAAGGGC